AUGUAGAUGACUUUCAUGUGUAUUCAUGGUAGAUCAUCUUUGAUUUUAUCAUUUUGAGUUUGAGUUUUAAAGUCCUUGCAUGCAUGUGAGUUUAAAUCAUGUCCAUUGUUUCAGAAAUUUAUGAGUUUGUUGAUCACCAUUUGCAUGUUAUGAAAAACCAUGAAAAUAGUUGAAAAAUCUUGCAUGAAGGAGUUUUGGUUCAAUUCUUUCAAGAAUUGAUGAGUUUUUUAAUAAAAUAUGUUUUAAGGGUCUUGUAUUGAAGUUUUCUAAAGCUAUUUUAUGUGUUUGAUCAAAUCAUGCAAGUUAUGCAGUUGAGAGGUAUAGUCCAGAUCAUAAUCCAUCUUUCAUAACAAAUGUUGAAGAUGAGUACUGGAAAAAGAGGAUUUAUGGAAGAAAAAAACAACAAACACUGCUAGAAAAUGGACUUUUUGUCUAUUUUUUUGCCACCGUCUGUUUAGCCGUGGCAAAAAAUAUUGAAUUUGCCCCAUUUAUUUCUCUUAUUUUCUUUGAUUUAUAUUUGCCCUAGCCAAAUCUAGACUUUGCUCGCUCUCUCUCUCUCUCUCUCAUUGAUCAUAGUUUGAAGAACACCGAUAUAAAUGUCUCUCUCGAUCUCUCGCUCUCUCAAUCUCUAUAUCUACCGACCAUACAUCACCUCACAUAUAUACUUUUUCGGUUCAUAAACGAUAGGGUUUCGCUGAAUUAAAGAGCUCUUGAAGUGGGCAUGGCGGACCGAGAAGGCUGCUCCCGAGAUUCUUCAGUUCGAAGCCUCUUUAGUUCAGAGGUCCCGAAAUCCACUUGCUGUUCAAUAGGAGGCAUGCUCACCAUUUGUGAAGAAGUACAAAACCAUCAUACAUCCUAGAGAGAUAUAAGAAAUGGAUUGCAAUAACCACUGCAUGUGCAUAUACUGGAAUUGAAUGUUUCCAACACAGAGAAAUGAGAAGCGCAAACAACAAUGCUCUAGAUAUAAUAAGCGCCGCUGCGACUACAAUAAAUGUUGUUUCAAAAACUGGAGAUAAGGUUCCAGAUCUAUCGGAGUUGGAAUUUGAGGCCAUAUCAUCUAAAGAUGGGGCAUGGUAAGCUUACAUGUGAGAAGCAAUAAAGAUGUUUUGAUGUCUCUUAGUUGAUAUCUAGCUGGUUUGCUUUUGUGUUUGUCCGCUACGGAUGUACCUAUUAUUAUUGUUAUUUAUUUUGUUUUCUUGCUUGUGA